GGUUCGAUGGCGUAGUUGGUUAUCGCAUUCGUCUUACAUCUUCGUGGUCAGACUCUAUGUGAGCACACGGAAGGUCCCCGGUUCGAGCCCGGGUCGAACCA